rnacentral:lncRNA from 1 species
AGAUUUCCACCAACUGCACUCGGAUUCCAGUCGCCACCGCCGCCUUCACCGCGCCGGCCACCUCCCUUCCCCCGCAAGCCCUCCGAUCUGCAUCGCCGCCUCUUUCUUUCUUCAAUCGGCGGCUCCACCCCCCACCGCUCUCUCCGCCGCUCCCGCAGCCUCUGCCGCUUCUCCCGCCCCAUUGUCGCCAGAGCCGNCUGCGCUCGGAUUCCAGUCGCCACCGCCGCCUUCACCGCGCCGGCCACCUCCCUUCCCCCGCAAGCCCUCCGAUCUGCAUCGCCGCCUCUUCUUCUUCAAUCGGCGGCUCACCCCCACCGCUCUCUCCGCCGCUCCCGCAGCCUCAGCUGCUUCUCCGCCCCAUUGCACCGGAGCCGGAGGCCGAGAUGGACUACAUCAAAAACGUGCCCAGGGGAAAAUUCGUCAACACCACGAGGGGCUCGACCUCGCUGGCACCAACCGCGAAUUGCCGAGCCCCUAGAUCCCCAAAGUCUUACUGCCUCUUUGUGAUUUUCGGCGACCACGACAGCCAUGUCCGCCGAUUUGCUACCUCCCUUCCCCAUAUGGUAAGUAUUAAAUGUUUGACUAUUUUAAAUAUAGAAUGAUUAUUAUUUUAGAAAGAACAAAUUUUGGAAAGAUUUUUAACAAUGGAAACAUAAACCCUAGAUUUUUAUGUUAAUUAAUUUUCGGUAGCUGCAAAUUAUGUAAAUAUAGAAUGGCAAUAAACUUUAGAAAGAAUUUUUUUUUGGAAACAAUUUUAUCAAAGGAAACUUAAACCCUAGAUUUUCAUCUAUAAAUUCAUUAGUUUGAAUUAUUAAAGAUGCAGCAGACGCAAGGUAACUUCUUCUUCUUCUUUUGUUGUCUUUCUUUUCUUUUGCAUUAACGCGGCAAUACCUCCUUCUUCUUUUUCUUCUUUUUUCCAGAUUUUUGGUUUAGAGGAUUAAGGGAUUGCUUACUUCCCUGUUUUCGGCGGGUGGUGGCAGGAAAUUUUUGUUAGGUAAUAGAUAUAUAUUUGUACUGUAGAAACUUUUAUAACAUAAAUUAAUGAGUUCGAUUCUAUUGAUGGACGCUGCUUGCUUUUUUUUUCCUAUGUUUCUUUAUGAAAUUCUUAGAGGCUCUUAUUGUUCUCUGUCACUGCAAUGCAAUCUUGAUGAGGGUUUGACAUGAAAUCUAAUGUUUGUAUCUAAUUCUUGAAAUCAUGAAAGCUUCCAAAAAGUGGGACCUAAUGAAGCCUUCUGGAUAUGAAAUUUUUAGGAUAUAGUAUCUAGCUCAUAUUUCUUGGAUGUUUUACUUAAUAAACUAAAUCAUCUACGUGAGCUAUGUUCUGUAAGUAAUCAAUAUGUGAAUUGUGCUGCUGCCUGCAGUUUGAUAGUAUACUUGCUUCGUCUUCAUUAUUUUUCCUGAUUUGGGAAGGUCUUUGUGAUUGUACUUUUUGAAUUUUAUAUGUUACUUAUAACGGCUUUUUGAAUUAAUCUACAUGAAUAUUUGAUUUUUCAAAUUUUUGAUUUAGAUUUUGUUAAUUAACUCUAUGUGAUUGCUUUACUUCCCUGUUUUGGUUUAGAUUUUUGGCUAGAAGUAAGCGAUUGCUUUACUUCUCUGUUUUGCCGUGGCUGAGAUCUCUGAGCACAUCACCAACAAGGUCUCCGAGCACUACAUGAAAAGGUAAAUGCUUGCUGCCACAAUAAUGUUCCUUUGACUAAUAGUGUUUUUAGUUCACUAGCGGGCUGGCUAAUUGAGUGUUCUUUCAUACUUUGCACCUAAUUAUGUGAUUUGUGAAAAUUUCUCAAUCUUUUGUGACAAUUGCACUAUGAAUGGUGACAAUAGCGAAUGAUUUAAAAUGAUGUUUCCACGCAUAUUUAUGUGGAGUAGUGAUUUGAGGAAUAUAUUAUAUCUUUAUAUGCUAUAAUUCAUGAGUUUAUUUGUAUGGUGAUGCUAAUAUGUAGUAAGGUGAUGUAUUUGAGCUCUACAUCUCUUUAUUUAGCCAAGCUAUGAGUUUUGUUUAGUUGAAGCAAGACAUGCCCUGCUGUCAAUUCUUGGCUGGACUGGACAGAGUGUUGCGGGAUACUUUUGGGGGUGUUCCCGUGGUUCAAAUCAGUUGAAAUUUUUACAGUAAUAACUUCAUUACGAGUAGUAAAUAUCUGCAAAAUUUCAGCUAAAUCCGAGACCCUUAGAUAUGUCAAAUAAUUUUCUGAAAAGUACUGCACGAAGCAACGAAGUUCAGUGGCAGAUUCUGCCUUUUGUGAUAUAAUUUCCUAUACACUUGAUAUAUGGUAUUUUUGUAACUUUCUACUAAAGAUAGACUUUAAUAGCUUUCUAAAAAGGUAAAUCUUGCAUUUUUCUUUGAAGUAAUUGAUUUUAUAUGAUUUUUCAAAGUUAGAAUUCAAAUGUAUAUGGUUCUUAAACUUGCGAGUGAUAAUUAGUUGAAAUUCUAAACUACUAAACUUGGAUUGAGUGUUUAUUUUCUUUUAACUUUUAUUUUAUUCUCACUUUAUUGUGCAUUAGAUUCUUUUGGAAUUAAUCGAGUGAGAUAUAAUGCAAUGUUUUGGUUUUCUGAACCUCUUGGAUUUUUUUUUGUUAGAUAACCAGCAGCCAUAUUUAGAGUACAAGGGGAUCAUAAGGUGGAGACUUUCUAUCUAAUUGCUGAAAAUUAGAUUUAAGUGAAACGAGUUCUCAAUUUCGCAUGUAAUGAAAUGCAAUUGUAGUAGGUUUUGUACUCUAAUUUUGGUUUAUAAAUCAACUUUUCUAAUUUUAGUGAUUUGGAAUACUUCCUUUUGAUUUACCUAUAUCUCUUUGUCUUAUUGUUAUUUCAGAAGGAGCUAUGUGUAUGACCCGGAAUGGAACAACUUUGCCUAAUAAGGAAUCUUUUGUAUGGGUUUAUUAGGCUUUUUCAACAUCAUUCAAAACCCCAUACAGUGUUAGCCGGACAACUGGAGGAGUCUCACAUUUGUUUGCAAACGCUGCAAACAAAUGAAUCAUUUCUCUGUCUUUCUUAAUUUUGUUAACUUUUGAUUUUGUCAACUCAAAACUAUAAUUUGCAAUACAUAAUUUAUAAUCACAUAUGGGGUGACAGGAAGGCACGAGCUAACAUGUGACUUCAAAGAAUUCAUAUUCGAACUCUUAGUAGCAUGGAUUAUUACGUUUAGCAUUAUUUAGACAAUAUUAUUUUAUAAAAUAUUUUUAUAAUUUGUUUGAAUAAAAAUUAUUAUCUAUCAUUGUUUGACAUAUAAUAUAGACAUUUUCUAUUAUAAGUUUGACCUCUCAUAUUAACACUUAUUUUUUUGAAAAAUAUCUAUAAUUUAUAUAUAUAUUAUAUGAAAUAAUUUUACGUUCUUUUUUUCUUAUAAAUUAUAACAUUAAAUGAUUUUC